rnacentral:lncRNA from 1 species
AAGGAAAAAUGUAGUGCUUGUGAUGUUUGUCACUAUAACUCACCUAACACUAAAUACAGUGGAGAGCCUUAACGUAUAUGAACACCGCAGUUCAUACUUUUAUCGUUCUUGUUAACAUGAAUUGAUUCUCCAAGUUCGUUCCAUGACUGAGUUAGACGUAGAUGUGAUUUUAAAAAGUUUUAUUAAUGCAGAUAUAUUAUGUGGAACGUACAAAAACAAAGAUCAGAGCAAAAGGGGUUAAGCAGUAGCAAUCAAUCAAUAAAACCAACAAAAGAUGUAAUCAUCCAUGACCCAAACAACUCGUAAUCAUCUUAAAAGUAUAGGUGACUUCGGAUAAGUGUUCGUUAAUUUAUGAUUGAGAUGCUUUUUGUUGUGUUUGGGGACCCAGAAGGUUUACAAGGCUUGUUUCAACAAAAAUAUGGAAUUGAAGUUCAUGCAUCUCUACAAAAGCAUGGUUAUGAGAAGCAUAAUCAAAUCGCUUAUGAAUCAAAAGGACGUUGGGGUAGAGAUACCCUAGCUACGUUGGGGUAGAGAUACCCUAGCUAGUCUGGACUCGAAGUCACUUAACAACCUUACGAGAGAUAGAUUGCUUGACCAGCAAGGUAUGUAUUGGUGAGCUGAAAUUUAGGUCAUUAGUUCUAAUCUCAUGGUUCGUGGGUUGAUAUGUACGUUGCUCCGAUGAAUGAUACUUUCAUGGGAAACUAAGUUGGAAGAGACUCUCAUAAUGAGCCAAUUCGUAGGGUUAUUGGAUAUACACCAAUGAGACCCGAAUAUGAGUGUCUAGGAAUUGGCUCUGUAUCUCAUCGAUCAACUCAAGUCAUUUGGCGGCGUCGCUCCGGCCAGACUCCUUUAUCAGACUAUAAGUAUACUUGAUUAUUGGUAUGUUGAUGUAUUGAAUUACAGAAGGAAAGCUUGAUAACAUCAACUUUUGUUUUCAGUCUGGAAAUUAAAAAUAAACCUUAUAACGAAGAACAAGCAAGAACUUUUAAAUUAACAGUGGGAUGACAUGCACAUUGGAAUUUAAAAAUAUCAAUCAAAGAUGUAAAACACUCAUUCAACAGUUUAUUACAAUGUUCUCACUUAGUCCUCAGUAUAAAGUCUUUGUUAUAAGCUCUCCCAAGGUUCCAAAUAGUGUUUAAAAUAUAGCAUUAACCAGCCAUAUCAUUCUUCUUUCUGUUAUGUCAAGGUCAAUUUGUUGCUUGUUUUGCUCAUACAUUCUGAGUUCAACAAAUGAGAUAUGAUCUUGAACUCUUUCCUUGAAUAUUCAGUCCACCCUAGCAGAAUGGGGAGGCUUUAAGAUUCAGUUUGCGCCAAGGAAUGCAAGCACAUAAACUAGCAGCUUAUGCGUUUGAUUCUAGUGUACACCUAGACUGGUUCUCUUAUGCUGAAAUAGCGUGGUUCUCUUUUUCCCUUUUUUUUGUUUUUUUUGUCAUUUUUUUUUGUGUGCGGAGAAGGUGUGUAUGUACAGUCCAUGUGUAUGAGAAUGAGGGAAAUUAUUCCGACAAAGAGGGUGGUUGAUUAGUAACAAUAAUUUCAUCUAUUGAUUAGCAUUAGCAUUAACAAUAAUUUCAUCUAUUUCACAUUUUGCCGAGUAGCGGUUCGUAUUUCCGCGAGCAGCGUAUUCCGGCAAGCAGUGGCAGGGGAUUGCAUUUGUCGUAGUUCAAGUAGUAGCACUGAAGAGAUUUGGAGACUUUGCGGCCACGACAGAAGCAGAGCUCACGGUGGAGCUUGGCGUCAUUAAGGCGGUCAUAGUCUAGCCUAGAGGAUCCACCUUCACUUCAGCUUACUUCUCAGCAUCGACUCGAAUAAUAGCACUGUAGAAAUAUUUUUUAGGCCAGCCUAAUGUAGAAUAAUGGCACCGCCACUGACAUGCAACACUUUUGCCCCCAAAUUUCCAUUACAGAUUUUGAAAUGAUGAUUAUUCUUCUCUUUUGUUUAUCUUUUACUCGUUGCUUUAAUGAUCCAAAUUCUGUAUUCGGUUAAAAUUUCAUAUAUGUUAAGUCUAUAAGAAGUAUCACAACCCUUAAAAUAAGAAAACAAGCAAUAAUGUAUACGGCUAUCCAAUUGCAAACAAACAACUUCUCAUUCAUUAUGUCGGUCACACUACAAAAUACAUAAUGCAAUCAUAUACACCCCCUCUUUUUAAACACUAAACACUAAAAAACAGCAAAAUGAAAUACACAUGGAUCAAAUGAAUGAAUUUCACCUGCACUCCUUCGGACUAUCAUCUGUGAUAAUUAAAGCAGCAGCAGCAGCUGAGAAAUAAGAUAUAACACUCUAUAGGCAGCAUCGCAAUUAAUAUCGAUACUAACCACAGCACAUUGCUCAUCAAGAGCAAAACGCUAUACAGCAAACUAGCCAUCAUCACUGACAGUAAAACCACAAUUACCACGACAAAAAAUACCAUUAAGAAUGAAGAUAGUGAAAGUUAUGACGCAUAAGGAAAAAAGAAAAACCGGCAAAGCACUCGUGCUAAUGAAUUUGGUUUCUAGAACAAAUCAGCUUUCUUCUUUUGCAUGUCUUGCUUCCAUUUCGGGAGUUGAUAGAAAGCAUCUUUCGUCAUCCCAAAUAUGGUCUGAAAGUCUUCAUCAGAGAGAUAGGCCUGCAAAGCCAAACAGGAUGUUAAUUACCAUUUCAAAACAGAUGAUAAAGCAUAGAAACAUUUACAAAUGACCCACCUCUCUUCUCUUAAAAUCAAUUCCAGUAACUGGAUUGUCAGAUUUAGCCCUCAGUUGGUCAUAACUGAAAGUACUUUGACAGCUUUCACUGCCAUUCUCAUCCUGCUCUUGCUUUGGUUCUGAUACAGAAGAAGGUGAAACAGCAUCUAUAACUUCAGGAACUUCAUGAUCUAUAUCAGAAUACGCCUUUUCACUUUUCGUUUCAGCUGCAAAUGUAUCAGGUAUUCUAAAGUUUCAGAUAUUCAAUAUAUAUGAGGAACGACUCUAAUUAGAAUAUAUUGAGCAAUGAAGGCCCAAAAAUAGCAUCAUCAAGAAUGUAAGUUCAGUUAUCUAGGAACAUAUUAAUCGUUUCUUGAUAGGAAAGCUAAUCUGUAAUAACAAAGGGAAAUGAAAUGCAACAGGAAUGGAGAGGAGUUCGUCACACAGAGCAGUAAAUUAGAGAAGAUGAAAAUGAGCUAAUAUGAAGUGCAACCCAAUCAAAUAGGAUUCAAGUAUGAUCUUAAAUAUUUGACACUGGUGUUCAUAGAAAGGCUAAAAGUAUACCAAUUCCUCCUUGUUGCCUUCUAUUUCCAUCAGAACAGACCAAUGUGAAGUCAAGGCUACACACUGCCUUAUAUAUGUGCAUGCCCAAACAAGGAAAAAAUUAUCAACUUUGGAACACUAACAUCAUCAGAGAGAGACAAGCAUAUGAGUAGAGCACUUUCUUGGAGCACAUCACAAGUUCAGUGCACUCUGAAGGCAUAUCACAUAUCAUCCUUAUAAAUCAUCUCAUAUAACCACAAGUAAAGUUAUACCUUGUAAGUAGAGUUGAGUCUAUUUCUACUUCUAAGGAUUUUAAGAAUAAUAAUCUUUCUUCCAUAAUUCUUAACUGACAAGCAGCUUCAGUAUACCCUUUAGUAUUAACAGAUGAGCUGCCCCUUUAGUAUUUAAAGUGGACUCCAUGUCAACUGCCCUCUUUAGUACUUUCCUUUUUGUUUCAAUAGAAAGCAACAAAGUAAAAUGGAUUUGGUUGCCAAUAAGAAAAAGUAGAACUAAAUAAAAAAUAAAUAUACCAAACUCUUUUGUCGGACUGGAAAUUUUUUAACAAGAUAUCCAUUCAAGUUCCUUUUAACACAUGACACAUGACCCUAGGAGAGGAAACAGAAAAAAGAAAUUACCAAACAAUGAUUAAGAGGUAACACGUAAGAAGUAUACAUAGGAAAACAAAGUCAACAUGCCAAAUGCCUUGUAGAUCUGAAUUUUAUUUACAAUUCCUAUCAUGAUCUUAGACAAGCAAACGAUAGAAAAAUAAUAAUGAAUAGAGAAUAACGUACACCAGCAUUCAAUCAAAAAGAAUCAAGAAGAAAAAAACAAUAAUUAAGACGAAAACAUACCAUGAUGUUGGCAAAAUAGUAAAGGAAGCUAAAAAUCAAGAAGAAAACCAACCUUAAUUAAGAAAAAGGUUACAGAAAUUGUCAUUCUCUAUCAAAAAAUAAUGUAGCUAGUGCAAAACAGUACGAAAACUUGCAGGAUUAAGAUAUCUAUAAAGUGAGGGAAAGAAUGCAAGAGUAAUUCUGCUUUGCUUACCACUAGUUUCUGCAGGGGGACUCUGCACAGGAGAGGCAUCAGGGGUUAACCUAGUCUUUUCAGCUGUAAGAACAUUUGAAAGUGCAGCAACUGCUGCAGCUCUUUGGGAUCCUUGACUUGUUGAAGAAGGCUUGGGAACAGAUGAUUUGCUUCCAGAAGAUGAAUUAAAUGCAGAAGAUAAAGCGGCUAAAGCUUCAGCUCUUUGCCUUGGUCCUCCUUCGCUUGACCCAUUGGACUUAUCCUGGCCAUGUGAUUGCAUGUAAGUCGAUCUAUUUAAUGAGUGUCACACUUCAUGCAAACAUAAACAUGAAAAAAGAAAAGGUGCUAAGAUAUUACAAAAAAUAAGCAAAGAGGCACACAGAUCAAAUGAGCAAGUUCUAUGUUACACCUUAGGAUCUGCUCCAAUAUGUAAUAAUAGGACAUUUAUAGCAAGGAGAGGGGAUGCAAGAACCGGAGCACAGGAAGACUAGAGGAUGCACACUCGCUAGUGCAAUUUUUGCCGAUAUAAAACCACGGCUUGUUAACUAUGAGUCCCUAGUAUCUCUUUUAUGUCACAUAAGAAUCAUGUUUAGUAAAUUAAAAUUUCUCAAUUCAACUUUCCAUGCCGAUCACAUGAGUAUCUCAACAUUUUCUUUUCGAUAUAGGAGAACUGGAAGAGAGUCCGAAAUCUCAUUCAAUCGCCAUCAAAAUCUAUAUCCACAUUAUCAGAAAAAAAAAGUGCCUAUUACAGGUUCUGAUCGUCUGCAACACCUCAGGUGAAGAAAAGAAUCCACUAGAAUUAAAUGGUAUUGACACAAUAAAUUUUAAUUACCGUAGGGGGUGAUUUUCCAGGGGAAGAAUUGAAUGCAGAUGAUAGAGCCGCUAAGGCUUCAGCUCUUUGCCUUGGGCCUCCUUGGUUCCCAUCAGAUUUGUCCUGGCUCAGCAAUAGGAAUGCAUUGUUUGUGUAUUAGAGAGGAAUUAUAAAUGACAAUGCUAAAAGAUUAUCAAAUUUUGCCCGGUUUUUUCUGUUAAUGUAGUUGGAUUAUUUCAAAUUGUUAGGACUUGUGAAUAAUAAAAUGUUCUUCCAUACGUAACUCAUGAUGUGACAAGUUCCAAUAGACCAAGGAUUUUAGAUGUCCACACAAUGCAUUACGAUGCCCCAAACCCAUGCCAUUCCAAGCAAAAACAAAGAGGAAAGGGAAAUCGAAGUUUGAAGCCUUAAAUCACCACCAUUGCUUAAUCUUAUGCGGAUAAUAAUGUAAUACUUAUAUUCGUAGACUAUUUUCAUAUUAUCAUUAAGACAAGAAAUUGUAUAUUAAAACCACUGAUAAUGAUCCAUACAGAACCAGAUACUUGUAACAAGUAGUUUAAAAUGUAACAGCAUAUUCUAAAGGAAUUGGAGAGAAGAACAGGAUAUCGUGUAUCCAUUAAAUAUACUAGACACAGCUUACUAGAAGCUAUUCAGACACAACUAGCAACCCAGAUCAAGAUAUGACAUGUUUAGUAACAUAGAUAGCUUACCUCCACAGCAUGACCAACCCCAAACAGAAUGGACACCUUCUUCUGAAAUGAGUUUCCUUGAACCUACCAUUUAAUAAACAUACUAUUAAGAAAUACACAUGAAUAUAAUACAAGUAAUGCAUCCUUAUUAAUUUAAUUUGAAUUCUUAUACAACAGUAAUUAAAAAUGUUUGACCCUGUUUUCAUAUCAUCCUGCUUUCAGAGAUCAUGCUUUCACACAAUCUUUUGACAACAGAUUAAGUUUGUUGAAAGGAAGAACAUAAAUCUUAAGAAACUGCACUAUUAACAAACAUGAACACCAUUCCCUCCUUCAAGCCUACACAUGGUGCCUAAAACUGAAGCAGCAGCACGAUUCACACCACUCUCCUUGAAGCUUAGACAUGAUGCACGGGAGAAACCCAAUCCACAUGUUCAAAGCACUGUCACCAAUGACUUGUGCGAAUAUCCUCUAAAAGACUCGAGCUUCCACCUCCUAACAUCUAUCUUAGUUUCCAUCACUCUGACUUCAUCCAUGAGUUCCAGGAUACCUCUCACAUCUUUUGGACAUCCCCAUCAUCAAACUUGCUCUAACUUUACCAACAUAACUUUCAAAAAAAUUCAGCAUCUAAUAUAUAUGAUCAAAGGUCCAUUGGUAACAUAUUUACUCAUUGCCCUCAAUUAUCCACUAUACAAGGUUCAAAGUCACAAUACUCUUAUAAUAAAGAGGGAAGUAAGGAACUGCUUGGAUGGGCUAGGAAUGGUGCUUGGCAACAUUUCAGUGAUGGCAUGAAAUUAAUAUAUGUUGGUAUGUAUAUAUAUUUAUAUAUGUGUGUUUUAGAACAUACAUUAGCUUUUGCAAGAUCCCAUGAAAAGUAUGUUGUAAAGAAGCGAGGUUCAUUUCCUUCAGUAACUUUGUACAAUGGAACAUUAGGAGACAUCCCGUCCAGAGAUGCUGCCAUCUCUAUGUAUUUCUGCAUACAUCAUUUAGAAUCAGAGCAGAAUAUAUAUAUACAUACAGGAAUUCUCAGGUGCAGACGUCCGCACCAAAACUUUGGUGCGGAUUUCCAUUUUUGCACCACUUUUCGAUCGAAUUUUCUCAUCUCCACCGUCUAGUAUCUAGAUAAUAUUGUGUAGAUCAUCUCUGAAAAAUUUCACCUAAUUUGGUAAUCGUUAAGCCCCUCAAACUCGAAAAACAAAUGGACGGAUUGAAUUCUGUCUGGUUGUGUUCAUACCAGAAAAACUCGAGUUUGAGGAACUUAACGAUCACCAAAUUGGCUGAAAUUUUGCAGAGAUGAUCUACACAAUGUUAUCUAGAUACUAGACGGUGGAGAUGAGGAAAUUCGAUCGGAAAGUGGUGCAAAAAUGGAAAUCCGCACCGAAGGUUUCGGUGCGGACGUCCGCAGCCAAGAAGGGCUGUAUAUAUAUAUAUAAUAAAUAAAUAAACUAAAUAUCAAGGUAUACCUUGCCAAUUUCAAAAGCAUUUUGCUUUGCUUUCGAGUCUACACAUUGACCAACCCAAACAAAGACUUCAGCAUGUGUGUCAAGUAUAAGGAUAUCCUCUGUCAGUAGAUCAUCUUGAGUAAAGUUGUAAAUUUCUUCCACCUGUGCAGUAAGAUACAAAAGAAGAUUAGAAGCCACAGAUACCUGAGUCAAGUUUCAAUUAAAUAUAGUCUGUUACCUCACCUGAAACUUUCCUGGGGAACCCACAUGGAAACAAGGAAGACAAAAAUAAGAACAGUUAGAGCAGAAUUAGCUUGGCAAACAAUUUAAUCCAACUAAGAUGUCAAUUAAUUCAACAAAAAGAUAAACUUAAAGCAGCAGCGACUGAAGUAGUUGUACUUAUAAACAAAAUCAUCUACCUUUGUUGAAUGAGAAUGUGAAUAGGUGGGGAUCUCUGGAAAUUUCAGAAGCAACUUUAUUACUGGUGUAAUUUUGUUUCCCUCCUAGGGCAUGCCAGAACGUUGAGCUCUCAGUUCCUUCUUUAGCAUGUUUUAUAGUAACUCCUGGCUGUAUUAGCAAUGCAUAUAAGGCUCAAAUAGAUAAACAAUCCACACAACUAUGAGGUAAUCUAAGAAACCCAAAAUUUAAGACAUGUUUAGUGACUAAAUUCUAUAUAGUGCAGUCCUACACCAACUUGCUAUGUGUACUUUACUAAACCAUUUAUAAUAAAAAAGAUUUAAUAGAUAAUGUAACACAUAUGGCAGGAAGAGGAGGCCUCUUUCUGAAUAAGAAGUAUACCUUCAGAAAUUCUGCAAGUUUUGCUGCUAACUGUUGCUGCUCAACAGAGCAUUGAUUUCCAUUCCAAGCAAAAACUGAGGAGCCAGAUUGCAGAAGGAAACACUCAUUUGAGUUCAAUGACGUUGCCACCUGGACAUGAACAAAAUUAUAUGUACAUACAUAUGAGCUCAUUGUAUGUAUAUGGACAAGAGGCAAAUAUUGUCCAACUAGGAAAAAGAGUACAAAUAUAAUAUCCAGUACUGGACAAGAAGUCCACCUACAAAACUAAGAAAAGAAAAUAUUAUCUCCAAGCAUGCAGUUUCAUUUGAUCUUCCUUCUACAAACCCAUGCCACAAAAAUUAGUGACCAAACUGAAGCCCCUUAUAAGUAUGCAUAAGAAAGAAAGGAAUAUCUCUAAAUUCUGUAGAUACCAAUGCCUAGAGAGAUCAGAACCAUAUUCUAUCCCACAACGCAUCACCUCCUCCUCCACCUAUCCUUAAGCUGUCAAUCUAAAUUACUUCAAAUUUAAAAACAGUACACAAUGAACGUUGAGACAUUAAUUGCUCCUUUAUUGCUUAUUAUCACCUGAGUAUGCGUUAAUAAUACUGUAAAUGAGCACAUGUGACUUAAUCGGUACCCUUGGCCUUCCAAAUUAAAUAGGAAUGAAUUUAAAGAUAAAAUAGGUAAAGAUGGUUUUCCAACAAACAAUUAAAAUGACAUUUGUAACCUUAGAAACAUUAUGAAAUCAAAACUUUGGAUAUUAAAGGCCAGAAAUAAUUCAAAUAAAAGUGUCCCAUGAUUUGCCCUAAAAAACAAGAACUCUUCUUUACUGGGAAUAUAGAGAAAUAUUUGUAUGUUUUUCCGUAUUUCUGGAUGUUUACAUUUACAGAAUUACAGUAAUAUUUUGUAUGAUAUGAAAACUUUGGACAUAUGUGUAUCCCACAGCAGUUUGAUACUCUCUCAAGUUAUGGUCAGACUGAGUCCUUCCUAGUUAUCAUUCCAAACUAGCAAUUAGAUAAACAAUAACGUCACUUCCCUAGAAAAUCUAAAUAAUUUCAAACGUCAUUGUAGAAGAAAUUGUAUGUUUGUGCAAGUGUUAUGCAUGAUUAUAGAAUGAGCUUGUACCGCAUCAACUUGCACUGCUUUGUUGUUAUGAAUAGAGGUUCCAGAUAACCGAAAGAGUGCAACACAUUCUGCUGUGUACGUUUCAUCAGCUAACCCUUUCUCCUCAACAAAUUUUUUAUAUCCAGAGCUCAGGCCACCCUAAAUUGAAAGUCAAUGAAAUUAAACAGUUAACAUCCCUGUUUUUAAACUACACAAGUCGAUUUAGUAAUUACAUCGAAUCAUGAUGUGAAAAUGAAGGUUUUGCCCUUAGCUUAAACAUAAUACCUCGAGGACAACCAUAGGCUGAAAGAGCGCAAUAAACUGUGGUGGCUCUUUACCUUGGAAUAUGUGACCCUGCAAGAAGCCUGUAUGUUAUAUGCAUGUCCCAACGACACAUUCUCUGUCCAACUUGACUAAAAUUCACAAUAUAUUACCUGAACUGGUCUUCCCUUCAGUGAGUUGGACAUGGAAGUCGCCAAAUGAGAAGCUGUUUUCUGGUCCUCCUGAAAUAGGUGUGAAUGAAAUUCUUUAGCACACAACAGAUACUGCAGCUUAGAUUUGCCAAGUGAAGCACCAAAAAAGUAGAAGUAAUGUAAACAAGGCCAUAGUAUUGUACUUACUUUCUCCAUAAGGUAAACAACUUGAUCCUACUUAAAUAAUAGAUGGCUUGAAAGAAGAGAAGAGUAAACAAAGAACUAGAUCAACAUUCAUCUACUAAAUAUUCCCAGACUAAAUCUCUUCUAGAAAAAAAAAUAAAUAAAUAAAUUACACACUAAAUCAUUUACUUCUACUGCACUCCACCUCUCAAUGAAAUCAGGUCCUCCUCCUAAUAUGAAGAGUACUGGUAUUCCUCCCUAACCACAUCAUUCAAAAAACACCAAAACAUGUUUCGACAAUUCAUUUUCUUUCCACCCCCCCCCCUCCCCCUCCCUCCUCCUCCUCCUCCUCCUCCUCGCCAAAGCCACAAUGUCAAUUUACUUCUAUAUAAAUUGAAACGUGCACAUUUGUAUCUAUAUGUAGGAAAUGUAACAGAAAGCAGCCCCUAGUUUCAGUUAUUUGAAUUCUCCAACAGGAACAAAGCGAUUUACCUCAAUACUAUCUUUUCCGAACCAACAGCACAGAAAGUAGUCAUCUUUUCUGUCACCAGAGUGGUAGGUAUAAAGAAUUAUGUAGCAAUCUCCACUAAAAAAUUUGCCGAUAUCUUCCUUAGGUACUUGUGUUUUAGCACUGCCAUUGAUGCACCAUACCUGAAAAAAAUAAUUUAAAAAAAAUCAAUAUGCUGGAAUUUAUCAGCAAUGCAGCCUGUUUAAUUAAAUAAUUACUAGAAGUAUGAGAGAUCAAUAUCAACUAGACCUCCAUCUUUCCACCUCCUUCAAGCAAAGGUGGGACCUCUUCAUUUACGGGAGUACCCUUUGUCAUGCCCUUUACACCAAUACCUUGUUGCUUCAACAGAGCUAGCAGAAUACAAAUACGCUUUAUUAAUAAACCUAAUCAGAAAGCAUUAGAACUUAGUUCACAGUGUAGAAUUAUAAUUACCUGCUACUUUUCCUCUUCCCUCCUCAGAACCAGACGUUGCUGUUCCCAAUGGCCAAGAAUCAAAGUUGGACUUGAAUGAACGUGUCUCAUAACCUUGAAUAACCCGGGUUAUUCGUGUUGAUUUUGGUCUAUUCUGAUGAGACACAAAUUCCUGGUGACAGAAGUACGAUUAGAUUUAUACAUUUCACUGAAAAAUCACUGUUCAUCAGCGUGAAGAAACGAGUACAGCUCACUACCUCAGCUGCUUGGCUAGCAGCUUUUCUGUCCUCCACUUGUGUCAACCGACCAAACCAAACAAAUACCUCGGAACCACAGUCCAGUAAGUAACAUUUGUUGUUUUCAAGCAAGGAUUUAGAUAGUUCACCUUCUACAAUCUUCACUUCAGCAUCAGUUAUGCUGUAAAAACCAGUGGUAAAAGGUUAGAACCUCAAAAGUAAAACACAAAAUGGUUUAAAUACUGGCCAGUCCAUUAGUAAUUUCGGCACAAUGACACUAGAAGCUGGGGGGAAGGUCAAAGGGAACAGCAGCAUGCCAUUGAAACUUUUAUUUUUUCUUUAAACCGGUAGAAACUCGAGAACUUUUUACAACUUUAAGUUCUCGCUUAAAAUUCAACCCUAAAUGCCGAGGUUUACAACUUCAACAGUUUCAAAAUGUAAUAAACUAUUUUCUAAUUCAAGUUGAAAAACAAAAUGACCUCAACUACAAGGCAAAAAUUGUAUUCAUUAUUGUUACUUGGCUACUUCUAGAGCUGAUGCUUCACCUUGAGAGCAAGUAGAGAACGAGCAGUGAAUACUAAGGCACUCUAACUAAUAUAUUUUUUUUCCAAUUAAUAGAUUUAUUGUUAGAUUCACAUAAGCUUGUAUAAAAUAAUUUAGAAUAGAUGUGUGGUUUGGCAAUCCAAUAUAACACAAUGGUGUGGAGCAUGAUUGAAUCCAUAGACAAGUAUGAGAACAAAAAACGAUAAUCUUUUGAGUUUAUAGAUCAGCAUAUGCCGAUUAAUUAACAAUGGCAUGCAAAGACUUGCAAAGGAACCUGCAUACACGAGAUGAGAUGGGGAAAGAAUAAAAGAAUAUCAGAAUACCUAUAAAGUGUAGCAGGAGUGGACUCAGGAAUUACAUCAUCUUCAUUGGCAAUCUUCUUGCUAAUCGGAGCAAAACCACCCAUUAGGACCCAGAACUCACCAGAGUCAGAUUCUGUGUCUAGCUUCCCAUCAUCUGGCAUGGUGAAGAUUGUUUUUCAGAAAUAAGUAAAGGGUAAGGAUGACAAAGCACAGAGAUGUUAGGUAAGAAUAGGGAUUAGAUUAUGUAGGUUCCUCCAGGACAAGAGGCGAUCCCAUACGAAGUGUGUGGGGUUGUUGCAUACAAAGAUACCGUAUAUUCACUUACCAACUAUUGCAACAUCACAUGUCCCAUUGUGAUACUUUUCUUUCAAAUACUGAAUCACUUCCAAAGCCUUCGCCCUUUCCUGAAUAUUGGAAUUCGCACCAUUGAACUGAAAGAUCUUAUCCUUGCUGUCCAGGAUGAACACAUCAUCAUGAUUCAGUGACGAACGCGCAAAAGGAACCUGCAUAAUUGCACUAAGAAGUUAUUACUGUAAUCUUCAGAACACAUAAAAUGAAGAAAAUUUGAAUUCAAGACUGUAUUUCAAAGAAGGAUACCUGCUUCAUUCUGACAACUCGUUUUCCUCUGCAGAUAUACAGUCGAGUUUCAAAUUCUUCUUCCUCAGGCUUUUUAAAUCCUGAUGCAACGCCACCCUCCAAUGGUAUAAUACAUGGUUUGAAGUAGGACAAAAAUUUAUCAGAUUCAUGGCCUUGAAUUUCCCUAUGUUGUACGGCGCGUCCUCCAAGAGCUGUAUCUAGUUCAACCGUUUUAAUAGCUGCUGUCCCAGCUUCAUCCUAUAAUAAGAGAAGACAGGACACAAAGUCAGACCAAGUUUCGAGUACCUCUUCUAUAUAUACAGAUAUAUGAAUAAAAUACAUACAUAUAUAAAAGUAUAUGUGUGUGUUGUGUGUCCGUGUGUGUGUGUGUAGAGAGAGAGAGAACGAGAAAGAGAGGAGGGGGAGAGAGAGAGAGAGAGAGAGAGAGAGAGAGAGAGAGAGACAGNGNGAGNGAGNGNGNGNNGNGANNGANNAGAGNNGAGAGAGAGAGAGAGAAGCACACCUGACUUGUGUCCUUCCCAAUCCAGAAGUGGAUGUCAAACAGAUAAGCGCCCCCUUUGUUUUGUGUUGUCUGCAAUAUGUGUCACAUAAUUGCAUAAAACUUACGGCUGGAACAGCCUUUUUAUUUUUAAGUUAAUAAUAAAAAAUUAAAAAUUUACUUCUGCAAUUCUCAGAAGAAAUAAUACCACACAAACAAACAUAACUCUUUGUUAAUGUUCUUGCAAGGAAAAAUCAUCCCGAUAAAAUAAAAAUAAACAAAAUGUAAUGAAAAACUGAAAACAAUUCACACCUGCAAAACAAUAUAAGAAUCCCCCAUAUAGAAUUUUCCAUGUUCAGAUUUCGGCAAAGGAACUGGCUGGAAAUCUUCAAUUCGCCAAAUCUCAGUCCCUCUAUUAUGUGUCAAGUUCAACAACCUCAACUUUGGACAUACUUAGCGGUAGUUAAAAUAAUACCAAAAGAAGUUGCAUAUUCCAAAACUGGCUAAAGGUAUAUUCUGCUUUACUAUUCUAUCUAUGACAGCAAAACCAUAACCCAACUAUUUUGGGUCAGCUACAUGAGACCUGGUCCUCCAAACAGUACUAUCCAAGGUCAUAAUUUAUUCAAGUCACUUUUCAUUUUAGGCUUUGAGUGGAAGUAAUUUUUUUUACUAUCCAGUCUAACUAGUUUUUUUUAUUUUUUAUUUUUAAAUGAAAUCUUAAUACUCCCUAAAAGGAUACACUCUUUGACCUGCUCCCUGAAAAGCUGGAUCCAUCGCUUUUGUAGAACUAGCCAUUGCCCGAUCCCUUGUUGUGAUGUUUCCUUCAGCAGGGAAGACUUUGAAUCCUGUGAUUCAAUACCUCAAUGUUUCACCAGAGAUUACUGCGAGGGAAAAAGAAAAAAGUCAAGACACAAACAAAAGGAGUUUUGUUACAAAGGCAUGAAAAUUAAAGAAGGAAACACACGAAGCACUGCCAAAACGAAUGGUCCAUCAUUAUCUAGUGUCAACGUUCGAGACUUGAGAGCUGCCCAGAAUUUAACUACUUUAUUUAUUGACAUUACGGAAAUGGUAACAUGAUCAUCAUUUAUUAUUGAAUCCAAAGUUUGAGAAAAGCAUUAAUAAUCUUUGUUGCCAGUACAUGUAUCAGCAUUGGUACUCAAAGGAGCACUUUUUCACCCAACAAUAAAUAAAUAAAAAAGCAGAACUUCAAUAUCGCUAUGCCAAUAGCGGAUGUUAAAAGACCUAUUUCAUCACCGUUCCAAAUUUCCAGAACAUACCACAUCUGGCUCAGUAUAUCUACUAGCAACCCACUGAUUUUUGCAUAUAUAAUAUUUUACAUCAAACAGGCCCAAGUGUUCUUAGACAAAAGAAACAGAUAUGUAUAAUGAUGUUAUGCAUGAGAAAGAGUGUCAAGGAGUGCACUGUAUAAUAAGUUUGAAGGUCUGACACAGUUGAUAUGUCUGAGUCCAUAAACAACAGGGUCAUCUUCUAUCUUACUAGAGAUGUUCAGAUAUAUAAAUCAGGGACACCCUUUCCUGGACUAGUAUCACAAGUGAGAUAUCUCCACCAAGACAUUACCUGAAAACAUAAUCGGUAUAUAACUCACAGACAAUAAAUCAUUGCUUCUACUCUUGCUUUCCAAGAGGCAGGAAUUUGAUCCAUAUAUUCUUUCAAGGAGCUUAUCAAUCCUCUGCUGAGACCCUCGUCUUCAAGCUUUAUCCCGGGUAGCUUCUUUACUUGAUAAUAUUGCAUUGGUACUGAUACAAUUACCUAAGCUCCAACCUGACUAUUAAUACAUAGAAGCUUUCCCCCACACCCCCCAUCCCCCGCCCUUGAUUUCUUUCUCUCGCACUUUUUUAUUUGGGGUCUUCUUCUGUGGUUAGCAUUUGAGCAAACAGGCAGAUGCUGUGUCAAUCCCAUUAGAUAGUAGUUGACCCAAUGACCAUUUAGUCCUAAAAACUCCACAUCCAUACUUGUUUCCUAGUUAAUUUCAAUAACACAUUCUGUUAUUGCCACAGUGAAGCAUAUGCAGGUUGUCUAGAUGACACAUCACCAAGUUGUGAACCUUACAUGUAAUUACUGAGACCAUACGAGGGGAAUCCUCAAUCAGAACUCUCUUUGGAUCAUAACAUUGCUAAAUCCAACUUAAAACCACCAACGAGAAAAUUACUUCCCUGAUCUUAAACAGAAUUCCAAUAAGUGAAAGGUCCCCAAGAACUGAAAUAUAUGGCAUGUGAUCAACACGACUUUAGGACGGCUAACUGAAUAAAGUAUCAAACCCAAAUUCAUGGUGUUUUCUAGCAGCGAUGCUAUGUCUCAGAUUACACCACAUCAAAAUGUAGUAGGCUAAAAUCACACACAGAAAGUGAUUCAUCAAAGGCAUUACAAAAUUCAAUCACUUGGUUAAUAAUUAAGAUCUUCCGGCUUUCUUAGCUCGAUCACUUGCCUAAUCAUAUCAAUAUAAGGAGCACUAAAAGAAUUCAAACAAAGAAAAGUGGACGAAACCAAAAGGCGAGAUCAAACAUACAUGAUCAAACAAGUAACAAGCAAGAAUUUAGGCCAAAGACCAAUACAUCACAUCAUGAUCAGAUCAAAUAAUCAGUUCAGUCUAUCAUAACCGAAACACAAAAACAACCACAACCCAUUAAAAUCGAACACAAACCCAUAAAAACCCAGAUUAAGAUAUCCACAAUCGUAAACAAGACAACGAUCAGAGCUAGAGAGAUCAAAUUGAAAANNNNNNNNNNNNNNNNNNNNNNNNNNNNNNNNNNNNNNNNNNNNNNNNNNNNNNNNNNNNNNNNNNNNNNNNNNNNNNNNNNNNNNNNNNNNNNNNNNNNNNNNNNNNNNNNNNNNNNNNNNNNNNNNNNNNNNNNNNNNNNNNNNNNNNNNNNNNNNNNNNNNNNNNNNNNNNNNNNNNNNNNNNNNNNNNNNNNNNNNNNNNNNNNNNNNNNNNNNNNNNNNNNNNNNNNNNNNNNNNNNNNNNNNNNNNNNNNNNNNNNNNNNNNNNNNNNNNNNNNNNNNNNNNNNNNNNNNNNNNNNNNNNNNNNNNNNNNNNNNNNNNNNNNNNNNNNNNNNNNAAAGAUAGUUGGAAGGAAGAAAAAAAAAAAGUGAAUUAUUGCUGCCUGUGUGUGUGGGCUUCUCUCUCUUAACUUUUGCCUUUUGAGAUUUCUGAUUCAAUGAGAGAGGAAAAAGCAGACAGCGAGUUGCAGAGAAGAAGAAGAAGAAAACAGAGAACGACGGAAGAAGAAUGAAAGAAUUAUAUGAUGACGAGGAAGAUGCAGAAGAAGAAGAAGAAGAAAUGAGGGAAGGGAAAUGAUAGGGGAGACAGAGAGAGGUUUGGGUAAUAAAGUGGUUAUAUUUAAGGCAAAGAUCCGGUGACGGUGGCACCGGCCAUGUUGGCUUUUACAACUUUUGCUAGUUUGGAUUUUCGGAUUUUGGACCUUGUAUUACAUUUUGGACCUCCUCUUGUGUUCAGCUAGAGAACGAUUAACUUUCUUUCACUGCAAGAAAUAGCCACCCCCAAAAAAAUGGUGGUGCGGCCAUUGACAC